rnacentral:rRNA from 1 species
UACGUAGGGGGCGAGCGUUGUCCGGAGUUACUGGGCGUAAAAGCGCACGCAGGCGGUCUGUUAAGUUUGGAGUGACAGUUUGGUGGCUUAACUGCCAAAAGUGCUUCGAAAAACUGACAGACUUGAGGGCUUCAGAGGGACACGGAAUUCCGGGGUGGGAGUGGUGAAAUGCGUAGAGAUCCGGAGGAACACCAAAGGCGAAGGCAGUGUCCUGGGGAGUACCUGACGCUCAGGUGCGAAAGCCAGGGGGAGCGAACGGG